CUGCGACCCCAGGUCAGGCGGGAUUACCCGCUGAAUGUAA
rnacentral:rRNA from 1 species